rnacentral:rRNA from 1 species
CCUACGGGCUGCAGCAGUGGGGAAUAUUGGACAAUGGGCGAAAGCCUGAUCCAGCAAUGCCGCGUGUGUGGAGAAGGUCUUCGGAUUGUAAAGCACUUUCGACGGGGACGAUGAUGACGAUACCCGUAGAAGAAGCCCCGGCUAACUUCGUGCCGGCAGCCGCGGUAAUACGAAGGGGGCUAGCGUUGCUCGGAACGACUGGGCGUAAAGGGCGCGUAGGCGGUUUGUGCAGUCAGAUGUGAAAUCCCCCGGCUUAACCUGGGAACUGCAUUUGAGACGCAUAGACUAGAGGUCGAGAGAGGGUUGUGGAAUUCCCAGUGUAGAGGUGAAAUUCGUAGAUAUUGGGAAGAACACCGGUGGCGAAGGCGGCAACCUGGCUCGAUACUGACGCUGAGGCGCGAAAGCGUGGGGAGCAAACAGGAUUAGAUACCCCGGUAGUC